GUGGGGCAGGGGAAGGGCCACUAAGGCAGUGGGGCCAUCUUCCCAGAGCCAGCCAUUGGCCUCGUCUGCCCAAAGGGCAGGUACCAGGAGAGAGUGGGGCCUCAGGGAUAGCUAAGAAAAUAGGGAGCAGCAGCAUCUGCGUCCCAGGCCCUGCACUUUCCCUGUUCCUGCUCCUGCUGCUGCCACCUCCAUUGCUGAGCACAGGGAGCUUCCUGCACCACCUCCCAGGCUGGAGAAACUCCCACCAGGGCACCAGGUACUACAGGAGCAAGACAGAGAAGGUGAAAACCUGCGAGGGUGCCUUUGAUCUCUACUUUAUCCUGGACACGUCAGAGAGCGUGAACAACAAUUGGAAG